rnacentral:lncRNA from 1 species
UGCCACCACGUGAGAAGUGCCUUUCGCCUCCCGCCAUGAUUCUGAGGCCUCCCUAGCCAUGGGGACCUGUCGUCGCUGCCCUCAGCCUCCAGAUGCAGCCCCCCUGCCACCUUCAGGACCCCUGGCUCUCCCCUGGACUCAGUAGCGAAAGGGUUUAUGUGCUCGGAGGGAGACCUUCAGGAAUCUGUGCAUAGAAUGCCAUAGUGCAGAGGAAACAGCCCCAGAAAAUGGAACAGCUGCUAAGUGAGACUCCUCAGCCAGGCCAGAGAAUGUGCAUUCUGACGGACUGCUUCUCAUUUGCACUGAUCACUGUCUUCUUUCUGAAACCAGCCCAACUUUUCUCCCAGAGAGUAUCAUGGAACUGAACUUUCAAGAUCAUGGCAUCUGGACAUCGAGAAAACAGAACCCUCAUCUGGCCACCUGCUGCUUUUUGACCAAUUCCCAUAUAAACCGCUAACUUCAGUCAGUUGGAGGGAUGGAUUUGAGAUUUGCCUUCUGUCUCUCAGGUGAUGUCACCAGCAAUAAAGCCUUCUUCCCUGGCAAUAAAAAAAAAAAAAAAA